CCGGCGGCUCCGGCGGAAGGUGGCUACACCUGAGCCCCGAGUCCGGCCCGACCCACAGGUCGGUGGAGGGGGGGCGGGGAGGCCCCGCGGGCAGGACCGCUAAGUGGUCCCUCCGCGACCGAGACGCAGCUCGUGCCUCACUGCCGCCGCCCGACGGCAGGCAGCGCGCGAAGAGGAGAUGAGAAAACUAAGGUCAGAAAAACUGAUAGACCCAUGCUAGAAAGGCAAGUAUUCUGAUGUUCAGCUUUAGCAAUUGGAUCGCUGAGUAGAAGCAAAUCUCUAACUGGUCUGGAAGAGAACAGCAAUGGCAUGGAUCAUUAUGAAUCCACCCAAGACAAACAUCUGCUCUUGCCAACGUAAACUGCUUAUUCACAGAAGAUGGGCAGUGCUUAUUUUGGAACAUUACUCUUAACUGCUGACUUUUGCAAUUUAAAACUUUUAAUGUUAUUUCCUAACUUUGUUUUAAAUGUAUUUUCAUUUUGAAA